GAUUCAUAAUAACUAAACGAAUCGCAUGGCCUUGCGCCGGCGAUGGUUCAUUCAAAUUUCUGCCCUAUCAACUUUCGAUUGUAAGAUAGAGGCUUACAAUGGUCUUAACGGGUAACGGGGAAUUAGGGUUCUAUUCCGGAGAGGGAGCCUGAGAAACGGCUACCACAUCCAAGGAAGGCAGCAGGCGCGCAAAUUACCCAAUGCUAAUUCAGCGAGGUAGUGACAAUAAAUACUGAUACGGGGCUCUUUCGGGUCUCGUAAUUGGAAUGAGUACAAUCUAAAUCCCUUAACGAGGAACAAUUGGAGGGCAAGUCUGGUGCCAGCAGCCGCGGUAAUUCCAGCUCCAAUAGCGUAUAUUAAAGUUGUUGCCGUUAAAAAGCUCGUAGUUGAACUUCAGGCCUGGCUGGGUGGUCUGCUUAACGGCAUGUACUGUCUGGCUGGGUCUUACCUCUUGGUGAGCCGGUGUGCCCUUUAUUGGUGUGCAUUGGGGAACCAGGACUUUUAC
rnacentral:rRNA from 1 species